GGGAGAGCAGCUCGCCGCCCCCGCUCCAUACCCCUACACCCUUCCGGCGGCGCCGUUCAUGAGCGAGGACAUCCUCUUCUGCGUCGACAUCGCCGCGGAGACCCGCGUCGAGAUGAAGACCCUCGGCUCCGACGGCCGCCCCAUCAUCCGCAUGGACGCCAUCAUCCAGGCCCUCAUCCUCUUCGUCAACUCCAAGCACACCAUCAACCCCGACCACCGCUUUGCCUUCGCC
rnacentral:misc_RNA from 1 species